UGACCCAGGAAGCUCAGCUGCAAGCAAUUCACCUGUGCUUCCCACAUGACAAGAGCUCCCUGGGCUCAUUUAAAGGUUAGCCUCCAAAGUGCAAAUGUUUCCUGGAUAAAAACCUCUUCCUGAGAAAGAACAUUCUACAGCCAGAGACCUUCUUUGCCGGUUUGGAGCGUACAGCUGUCCAGUGGGACUUCAUUGCAGAAGGACACUCAGGAAAGCUCAGACUUUGAUAAAGGACAGAUACUUCAUGACUACUUGAGCUACAUAAGAUAAGCACAUCAGAAAAGAAAGGAGUUAGUUAUAGACUGCGAAGAACAUGACAGUUCCUGCCCUCAGGCAAUUCAGCCUGCUGCUUCAAAAUCAUCACCAGCAGCAGAAUCAUGCCCUUUUUUGUCCAGCCCAUGCUUCAGAGUGCAAGGGACAGCACCUUUCACUGGAGAUAUACUGUGGAAGGACAUGCAGGUACAACAGAGGCCAGACAGGUAGGACAAGUAAUAGCUUUUAUUAGACUGCCCUAUUUAGUCAGGAAAACUGGAUAAACUGUUGGGUUUUCAUCAACCCCAAACUAACUGUUGGAACGAAUGGCUGUACAAACCUCCAUGUCCUGGCACCUUUUUAUACAUUCUUCUGAGAAUUUUGCUUUAGAAAGCUAGAAAGAGAAACUACAUGGGGAAAAUCUCCUGC